rnacentral:misc_RNA from 1 species
GAUGAAGAACGUAGCGAAAUGCGAUACGUAAUGUGAAUUGCAGAAUUCAGUGAAUCAUCGAAUCUUUGAACGCAUAUUGCGCUCUCUGGUAUUCCGGAGAGCAUGCUUGUUAGAGUAUCAGUAAACACCUCAACUUCCAUAUCUUUUUUGAAAUGGGAGUUGGACUUGAGUGAUCCCAACGCUUUUCCUCACCGAAAAGUGGCGGGUUACUUGAAAUGCAGGUGCAGCUGGACUUUUCUCUGAGCUAUAAGCAUAUCUAUUUAGUCUGCCUAAAAAACAGAUUAUUACCUUUGCUGCAGCUAACAUAAAGGAGAUUAGUUCUUGUGCUGACUGAUGCAGGAUUCACAAAGACAGGCUUCGGCCGACUUUGUAAACUCGAUCUCAAAUCAAGUAAGACUACCCGCUGAACUUAAGCAUAUCAAUAAGCGGAGGA